rnacentral:lncRNA from 1 species
GUAUUUUUGCCCACCUGUCACACAAUCUCAUUACCCAUCUGUCUGUUUAACUUGUGCUAAUUUCCAAUUAAAUUUCAAAUAGAGGUAAAUGCAUUCCGUAAGUGUGUGAGAGAGGCUCAGCUUAAGGGGAAGGUGUGAAAAACUUGGCCAUCAUCAGCCCUCAUUUAAAGAGUGUCUGAGUAAGUGGAACCUGCAGUUGGCUGAUAACCAGCGUGCACUAAGAUCAGUUCUAGACAUGCUCUGCUUUGCCUUCUUCCCAGGUGACAGACCAAAACACCAUGAAGAAUGCCUUGGGACAAAGAGUGGAAGCUGAGUGUAAAUGCACAGGCAGCACUGGGGACAAAAAGCACUGACUAGAGGCAGUGAUGUGACACAUUGUGAAAAUCAUUGUCUGGCAAUCCAGACAGAAGAAUGCUGUUUUGGCAUACCGAAUGAAAUCUUUGAGCUGUGCUGUGACUAUAGAAGCCAACACUCUGCUAGAUGGAAUGGAGAAAAGGGUAUUGUAAAGUCUUCCUUUCUCAAAGAAGCUGUGGGUGCCCCAUCCACAGUGGAGGCACUCAAGGCAAGGUUGGAUGCGGCCCUGGGCAGCCUGAGCUGGUGGGUGGCACCCAGCCCACGGCAGGGAGUUGGGACUGGGUGGGAUUCAAGAUCCCUUCUAACCCAACCCAUCAUAUGAUUCUAUGACUAUAAUUUGAUACCUAAUAAAAAAUUCUAAUUUGUG